CUACGGGGGGCUCCAGUGAGGAAUUUUGCGCAAUGGGCGAAAGCCUGACGCAGCAACGCCGCGUGAGUGAUGAAGGCCUUCGGGUCGUAAAGCUCUGUCAAGUGGGAAGAACCUAUGUAAUGUUAAUAUCAUUAUAUACUGACGGUACCACUGAAGGAAGCACCGGCUAACUCCGUGCCAGCAGCCGCGGUAAUACGGGGGGUGCAAGCGUUAUUCGGAAUCAUUGGGCGUAAAGGGCACGUAGGCGGCCUGGUAAGUCAGAUGUGAAAGCCCGGGGCUUAACCCCGGAAGUGCAUUUGUACUGGCAGGCUUGAGUAUGGGAGAGGGAAGUGGAAUUCCUGGUGUAGAGGUGAAAUUCGUAGAUAUCAGGAGGAACACCGGUGGCGAAGGCGACUUCCUGGACCAAUACUGACGCUGAGGUGCGAAGGCGUGGGUAGCAAACAGGAUUAGAUACCCCAGUAGUC
rnacentral:rRNA from 1 species